GAGACUCUUACGAACCCCAUGUUGUUCUCCGUUUUUCUCUACAACCCCCACAAGUGUCUUGGGACUCGUCUGAAGUCGGUACAGCCUCUUUUGCCAACUUCUGUCUGCAGUAUCCAAACACUUUGGGCUACACAUGAAUAUGUUAGCUUAGUAGAACCCCGCCUCCCCCGGCUUAGACAGGGCUUACACUCUAAUGGGUUAAACCGACUCUGUGAACUACCCCCACUAUGGUACAUGCCGUCCAUUAUGCCCAUGGUGCCGGUGCUAUGGCUAGCCUACUCCCAGGUCAGAGAGAACCUGGUGAAGCCAUCCCACCCAAGAUCAUCUGCCUCCUGGCCUGUGGAAGACUGGACUGCCGCUACGAAGGAUCAGCCUGCUGGAUGCCCAGCCAACAAACUGUACAGGGACUCUACUCACACUGGCUGAACAUCAAGUCCAUCAUCAACAUGCUUUCACCUGGGGAGCAUGCUCACUGUGGCCCACCUCUGCAGCCAGACACUGGAUUCACCUACUUCCUACAAACCUUUAUGGAAAAUGAUAGUACGACUGUACUGUAUUGAUACCUAUCUCUAAUAUACAUAACAUUAGGAUAGUCUCUGAGGCCUUAUGUAAAUUAAAUUGUCUAUUUUUCUCUGUG